AUUGAACGCUGGCGGCAGGCUUAACACAUGCAAGUCGAGCGGGGACUUCGGUCCUAGCGGCGAACGGGUGAGGAAUGCUUGGGAAUCUGCCCAGUAGCGGGGGGAUAACGUUUCGAAAGGAACGCUAAUACCGCAUGCGCCCUACGGGGGAAAGGGGGGGAUCUUCGGACCUCUCACUAUUGGAUGAGCCGAUGUCCGAUUAGCUAGUUGGCGGGGUAAAGGCCCACCAAGGCGACGAUCGGUAGCUGGUCUGAGAGGAUGAUCAGCCACACUGGAACUGAGACACGGUCCAGACUCCUACGGGAGGCAGCAGUGGGGAAUAUUGGACAAUGGGCGCAAGCCUGAUCCAGCCAUGCCGCGUGUGUGAAGAAGGCCUUCGGGUUGUAAAGCACUUUUGUCCGGAAAGAAAAGCUGCCGGUUAAUACCCGGUGGUCAUGACGGUACCGGAAGAAUAAGCACCGGCUAACUUCGUGCCAGCAGCCGCAGUAACAC
rnacentral:rRNA from 1 species